UACGGAGGGUGCAAGCGUUAUCCGGAUUCACUGGGUUUAAAGGGUGCGUAGGCGGGCAGGUAAGUCCGUGGUGAAAUCUCUGAGCUUAACUCAGAAACUGCCAUGGAUACUAUUUGUCUUGAAUAUUGUGGAGGUGAGCGGAAUAUGUCAUGUAGCGGUGAAAUGCUUAGAUAUGGCAUAGAACACCGAUUGCGAAGGCAGCUAGCUAAACCGACAUUGACGCUGAGGCACGAAAGCGUGGGGAUCAAACAGG
rnacentral:rRNA from 1 species